rnacentral:tRNA from 1 species
UCCCUGGUGGCUCAGAUGGUAAAGAAUCUGCCUGCAAUGCAGGAAACCUGGGUUCGAUCCCUGGAUUGGGAA